UAAUGAGUGUUUAUGGCACUCUUUCAAAAUCCAUAUCCACCUUGUGUGCAAUGUAAAAGAGGAAAAAAGAGAAUGAGAGCGGCUAGAGCUCUUUGAGUUUUGGCUUGUUUCUAUUUCUUUUUUUUUCCUUCUUUUCUAAUACACCUUUCUAUUAAUCUAUUGUCUAAAGUCUAUUAUGAAUGAAAUAAUUCAAAAUA
rnacentral:misc_RNA from 1 species